AAUGGAAACUUCUUGUUCCAAACAAGAAAGAAAGACAAGUGAUGACAGAAAAAAGAAGAAUAGGAAUGAUGCUGUCAAAGCCAAAGUCUCAAAAUCUAGGUACGAUAAAAUUAAAAAAAUAAUGGGAACUUGUUUUUGCCAACAAGAAACAAAGACAAGUGAUGGAAAAAAAAGGAAGAAUAGGAAUAAUGGAGUAUUAAUCUUUUCAGAUGAUUGGGGAGAUUGUGAUUGCGAUGGUUGUGACUGUGACUGUGGAGGUUGUGUAGAUGUGUGUAGCGGGAUUGAAUGGAGUGGUUGCUUCAGGUGAUUGAAUGGAGUGAUGGCUCCUUUGUGAUUUCUAAGUCUUUCUUAUUUCAACUUAUUAUGUGAUGUUUCAUCAUUCUUGGGUGUGAUUUUUUAAGAUAUUCAUAUUGCCUUUGGAAAAAAUAGUAAUAUUUUUUAAUUCUUGUUUUUUCUUUCUUUUAUAAUUCUUUUCUUGUGGUUUAAGUUUUAAGUUUUUAAAUAUAUUCAUGUUUACCACUAAUCAAAGGCAUAUUAGUGAUACUGUUUCAUAAAUUCCUCCAUGGUUGGUGGUGAAAUUUAUAUCUAGUAAGGUGCUCUUUUAGUACACAGUUAUGAGCUGACACACUAACAUUGAUCCAAACAACAAACA
rnacentral:lncRNA from 1 species